rnacentral:rRNA from 1 species
UACAGAGGUGGCAAGCGUUGUUCGGAAUUACUGGGCGUAAAGGGCGCGUAGGCGGUCUUGUAAGUCUUGUGUGAAAUCCCUCGGCUUAACCGAGGAACUGCCCUCCAAACUGCUUGGCUUGAGACCGGGAGAGGUGAGUGGAAUUCCCAGUGUAGCGGUGAAAUGCGUAGAUAUUGGGAGGAACACCAGUGGCGAAGGCGGCUCACUGGACCGGUACUGACGCUGAUGCGCGAAAGCGUGGGGAGCAAACGGG